rnacentral:misc_RNA from 1 species
AAGCCGCCCGCCACCUUCAACGGGCCGUUGUCGCCCUCACGAAGACCUCUUGCACUUUCACUGCAAUUUUAAAUAUUUUUAUGUAUAUUUUAGUAUAUUUUACCUCUAGUUAUAAACGCACGUGGUUCUGAUAUUCAUCUAUAACAAAUAUCUUUAUAGGAUUAUCUGCAUCAUCACACAAUGUUUGAAAUGGAGUUGUUACUGUGAUGAGGCCUGGUCAAUGGAUCCUCAAAAGGAGAGAGGUUAUGGAUCACGACGAAAAUUCCUAGGAAGAUUUGCCGUUCGUGUUCGGUCACGUGAUGCUAUUAAGGAAGAUCACUCUUCCCCCAUCCGACCUGCAUGCAGUGAGACUGUGCAGGAUGAUACGUUUGGGGAUUCUUUCUGCAAUCUUGGUGUCUUGGAUGAUGUUUGUGAGAUCGAGGCUCGGUACACAGUCACACGAUCUUCAAGAACAUCACACGAGGAAGUACCUUGUCCUAAAAAGACAUUUGAAAGUUUACAACCAAAAUCAGAUGAGAUGUCAGAAAAUGUACUUCCUAGUAACAAGAGUUCUUCAAAUAAUGAUACAGAGAUUUUUUCAAAUAAUAAGCAUCACGGAACUUUCAAUGAAACUAAAUCUAAAGAUCUUAGGCGAUCACCGAGAUUAAAGAGCUCAAGUUCUGGCAAUAUAAAAAAUGAAAAUUGUGGAGCAGCAUCAAAAGAUUUUGAUGAACGUAAUAAGAGUGAAAAGCAGAAGAAAACUGAUGAGCUCGAACCAGUUGAAACAAAUCCUCUUGAAGACAUUGAUGCUAUGGAUCUGAGUGAUAGCGACUUUCCAGAUGAGAUUACUUCUCCAGGAGAUGAAAUGCAGAAAGAAGCAGGGCUGGGUUAUUCGUUCUUGCGUAACUCUCGAAUAAAUAAUUAUAUUAAUGCCUCCAAGCGAGUGUUCAGUAACUCUUCGAAUGAGACUGUCAGAAGGUCACAAAGACUGCGGGUUAAAAAGGAUGCAUGCAGUACGGAUAGUGUUUAUUUAUCAAAUAGGAGCAAGAAAAAUGUUAACAAGGUUAAUGCAGGCGAUAAAACUAAACACAAACUAAUCUAUUCAAAUUGCGGAAAUAGUACAGAAGGAAACAGUUGUGUACGACGCAGAGAUGAUCUUCCAUCAAAUAUUGAUUUUCACAAAGGUGAAGUACUGAAGGAAAUAAACACAAAUUCUUCAUUAAUUAUCUCGACUUCUGUAGAUAAAUAUUCUUUAACCAAAUAUAAUUCUAAUGUAAAAAAUGUGUCCGUAAAUAAAGAAAAUUGUGUAAAUGAAAGGGGACAACAUUCAGUUGCAGACAUACAAGAAUCACACCUUGCAAUUGAUGGCUGUUCAGAAGGUUGUUUCCUAGAAAAAGAAGGCCAGAUAAAACAAACACUAAACAAUGGAAAAGUUUAUUAUAGAGAAGCACAACAAACCUUUCCUGAUGCCUCUGAAAUUUCUGAAGCCAAGGAAAAUGUUGUUCUUGGUCAUCAAGAGACAGUCAGUAAAGCUGAAAUCUUGAAAAGUGCAUCAUAUUUUACUAAGCCUGGAACAUCGGUAGAGUUUAAUGCACCUGUUAUGAGCCACCUUGCACCAUCUGUUAUGAGCAACCUUGCACCACCUGUUAAGUUUUUGAGCACUGAUAAAUGUUUAUCACCUGUUACUUCUGAUGUGCUUAUGGAAGGCCAAGUACCUGUGAAUUCUAAUGAAUUUAAUAACACUCGAGUACAAAUGAACUCUAUUGAGAUUAUGGGGAUCCAAGAACCAGCUAAUUCUCUCUUAUCAAAAGAAAGCAAAACUCUUCUUAAAAAUGAAAGUGUGUGUAGUGUUGCUCAGAUAAUUGUUGAGUCUGAUCUAUCCAAUAAGGGUUUUAAUGAUAGCACAACAAAGCGCACUGAAAUACCUAUUAAUCCUCCUGCAUCAGCUAAAUUUAAAACUCCAGUUCACCAGCAAGCAACAGGCUCUUCCAUGAUCCAGAAGCCUGAAACUUGUUUAAGGUCUCCAUUCAGCGAGAAUAAUGAGAGUUACAGUUUUCUUUCAACUCAAGAGAAAAUGGAGUUGUCGUCUUGGGGACUGCCUGAUGCUGUAUUGCAGUGUUAUCUGAAAAAUGGAAUCAAGACAAUGUUUCCUUGGCAAGCAGAGUGUUUGAGCCUGCCAAAUGUUCUUGAUGGAAGAAAUCUUGUUUAUUCUGCACCUACAUCUGCUGGCAAGACCCUCGUAGCUGAGCUGUUGCUUCUCAAAAGAGUGGCAGAAAGUGGCCGCAAAGGAGUCUUCAUCCUUCCUUUUGUAUCGGUAGCACGGGAGAAGAUGUACUACCUACAAAAAAUGUUUGGCGUUGCUGGGAUUCGUGUUGAAGGCUUUAUGGGUUCCCAUAGUCCACCAGGAGGAAUGAAAGCUACAGACAUUGCUGUUUGUACUAUUGAAAAGGCUAAUAAUCUAGUGAACAGAUUAAUGGAAGGUAAACGCAUGAAUGAACUUGGUAUAAUUGUGGUUGAUGAGUUACAUAUGUUGGGCGACUCUCAUCGAGGAUAUCUUCUAGAAUUGCUCCUCACCAAGGUCAUGUUUGUGUCCAGUCUCUCCAGAAGCAGUAAAAUGGAUGAAAAUGGUAUUCAAAUUGUUGGAAUGUCUGCCACACUGCCGAACCUGCAACUGCUGGCGAGUUGGCUAGACUCGGCAUUGUACAACACAGACUUCAGGCCAGUACCACUCUCAGAGAGAGUUAAGAUUGGCAGAGCUGUGUAUGACUCCUCAAUGACUAAAGUGAGGGAAUUAGAUCCUCUGUUGACUGUUAAGGGUGACAGUGAUCAUCUGAUUCAGCUGUGUCUUGAGACUGUAUUAGAGGGCUUUUCUGUUCUCGUCUUCUGUCCAACUAAAGCGUGGUGUGAGAAAUUGGCAGAGUCUGUUGCAAGGGAAUUCUUCAAUAUUGGAAAGGCAAACAGCCCAUAUCCACCUGAGCUCAGCGGGAAAUUAAGAGAUUGCUUGGACUCAACCGGCAUAGGGAGGGUAAUGGAAGCUCUCCGUAAAUGCCCUGUUGGAUUGGAUGACAUUUUAGCUCGAUCUAUUUCUUUUGGAGCAGCUUUUCAUCAUGCAGGUUUAACCUUUGAUGAACGUGACAUUAUUGAAGGAGGAUUUCGUACGGGGUCAAUACGCGUUCUCAUCGCCACCUCAACUCUGUCUUCUGGAGUCAACUUACCUGCAAGACGGGUUAUCAUCAGGUCACCUGUCUUUGGUGGGGUCAUUCUUGACAGUCUCACCUACAAGCAGAUGAUUGGUCGAGCUGGCCGAAAAGGCGUUGACACUGAAGGUGAAAGCAUCUUAAUUUGCAGAGAAGGAGAAACUCAUAAAGCCAAGCUUCUCCUGAGUUCUACACUUCAACCCAUUACCUCUUGUCUUCAAUGUGAUGCAUAUCUCACCACUAGCAUGAAGAGAGCAAUAUUAGAGGUAAUUGUCAGUGGUGUAGCAAGCACUUCACAUGAGGUUGACAGCUACUGCAAGUGUACACUCCUGGCUGCUUCACUUCACACCGCUGCUGAAGGCUCCCAACCAAAUUCGCAGAAUUCCAUUGUCAGCUGCAUUGCCUUUUUGGAGGAGAACGAGUUUGUCAGGUUACAAGAGGUUGAAGGCACCGUACGAUACAUUGGGACACAGCUGGGAUGUGCAGUACUUGCCUCAGGCCUCUCCCCUGAUGAAGGCCUGCAUGUAUUUAGUGAACUUCAUCGUGCCAGACAGUGCUUUGUAUUGGAAAAUGAACUUCAUAUUAUUUAUCAGGUAACACCUGUGUAUGUCAGUUCAGCAUGGCCAAAUCUGGACUGGUUAUCAUUUCUCAGUAUUUGGGAAAGCCUGAGUGAAGACAUGAAGAGGGUGGCUCAGCUGGUGGGUGUGGAGGAGAGCUUCAUCGUGAGGGCCAUGAAGGGCACUGUCAACAAGAAGUUGCAGCGUCAAGCCAAGCAGUUGGCUGUGCAUCAGAGAUUUUAUACAGCUCUUGCCCUUCAUGAGCUUGUUCAUGAGGUGCCGCUCAACACUGUGGCCAGGAAGUACGGUGCCGCCCGAGGGAUGCUUCAGUCUCUCCAGCAAACAGCUUCAACAUUUGCUGGCAUGGUCACUGUGUUUUGUAAUCGCCUUGGGUGGUAUAAUCUAGAGCUACUUGUUGCUCAGUUUCAAGAUCGUCUGCACUUUGGAAUUCAACGGGAACUUUGCGACUUAGUCCGCUUGUCACACGUCAAUGGCCAAUGCGCUCGAGACCUGUAUAAUGCAGGUCUGGAGACGGUCAACUUGGUAGCUCAUGCUAGUCUUCAUGAUGUAGAGAAUAUAUUACGUUCUGCAUCUCCAUUCCACAGCAACAAGAUGGGAGAUAACGAGACUCGUUCAGAAGGCACCAUCUGGUUAUCGUCUGGUCGUCCCCUUACUGAAGCUGAGGCGGCUGCCCUCAUUGUUGCUGAAGCUCGGCAGUUAGUACAAAAAGAGCUUGGUAUAACUUCAGUAGACUGGACACAGAAGGCUCAAGGAGUUACUACUCCAGGAAGAAAGCCUCCAACACAUUCUCUUGGCUCAAACUCUGCAAAUCGUAAAGUUCUUAUUGCAAAGAAAAGGAGCUCAACCUCGCCUAAUCUCAUAUUGCAUUCUACUGCAGCAAGAGGAAGACACAAGGUUUCUUCAUUGGUUGUGGACUGUGAAACCAAUUCAAUUUCAAAACUAGUAGGUGAAGUAAUACCAGGUAAACGACCAUCUCCACAAUUAUCCACCCUAAGGAGAAAGUCAAAAUCACCAAAAAUUUAUAUUCACUCGGGAAUGGCGACUGGAAAAAUGUCGCCCAAAAGCUGUAAACAAGACAAAGUAAAUUUUGGAAAUUGUGUUCCACUGCAGCUUCCUGAUGAACAAGUAAAUAAUGUGGCCAAGAACUCUCCUAGUCUAAAUAUGGUGGAAGAUUUACUUUCUCAUGUUAAAGCUUCAGAAAUUGAAUCCGGAAAACAAAAUAGAGUUGAAUCAGUAAAUGAAAUUGCAGAAACUUUGGAAAAUAAUAAGAAAGCUGAAGAAAAUGAUAGUGACAAUAUUUUAAGAAAUGGGGGCCAAUCAGAGGAGGAAUCAAGUGAUGAUAAGAACCAAGCAACAGCCUGCUGUAAACAAGGGAGAGAGAUAAUAGAUAUCAAAAGUAGGUUAAGAAGUAGAACAAAAGGUAUUGAAGGUGAGGAUGCUGGCCAAAGUGGUAAUACACAAAUGGAGGUGAUAAAGAAUGCAAACAUAAAUGAAGGUAAAAAUAUUGAUAGAAAGAAGCUAUUUAACAGAAGUUCAAUAAAUAAUGACAAGAGCUGCAUGAAAAAGAACUCUGCUAUUGCUGGGCUAUUAUUUAGAAGACCUAAAGCACAGAACAGAAAUAUAGAGAUGGAAAGCAGAAGCAAUGAUGGCAGAUCAUUUUGUAUCCCUGAAUCACAGGAAGAUAAAUCUGACAAUAUAUUCUCCCCAAAACGACAUCAAAAUCUAAAAAGUAAAUCUGGACAUGUGAAAGAAGGAGCACAGGACACAACUAACAUACAACAUGAUAAAAGUGAGGUCAAGAGUACUCGGUCAAAGAAUAUUUCUGGAUCUUGUAGAGAGAUUACGUCUGGGAGCAAGUUAAGGGCAGCACGUGAGGACAUCGGUAACAUGGAAAUGGAUCAUGUCGGUAAUAUAAACACGAGUACACCCAUUGUUGAGGGACACAAGAUGUUUACACCUGUUUCUGCCACAACACCCAUUACCAACUCAGAUUCUAAGCUUGUGACAGCAUCAAUACUUCAUCACAUGGCUGGAGACAUGACAAAUGAUGCUAUUACCAACUUGAGCUUGAAUGAUUUGCAAUGCCUUGGUGUAACUUGUGAGGAAGAAGUUCAAGUGGCAAAUGAGGUCAUUAAAAAUAAAGACGAUAGUGAUAUGUUUAGUGAAAGUAAUGAUGUAGACAACUCUAAAAAACUUUCUAGAGAUUCGUCCAGUGUAUCUGAAAAUGCUGCUGAAACAGAAAUUAAUAAAGCUAUAUCAGAGUCUAGGGAUUUUCCAACAAAUAUUACUCGUCAUGUAACAAAAAUAUGCCACAAUGUUGAAAAUUUUGGUUUUCUUUCCGAAUCACAAAAGGUUGACUUUUUAAAAACAAUGGAUUUAUCAGAUUUUAAUUCAGGCUCAGAGAAUGUGUCAUUUGAAAAUAAUCAAGACAAAAAAUUAAAAACAGAGACAAAAGUUAUUGACAUGUGGAAGAGAGAACAAAAUUGGGAUUGUGCAAGAGAGGAACGAGUUUCAAGUAAAGAUAGUCCAAAUGGUGCCUUCACAAGUUACUCUGAUGUACCGGAAGAAAAUAGCAUCCUAGAUCACACUUUGGAUUUAAAAAGAAAAUUGCUGGAGGCACCUGAAGUUUUAAUAAAAAGCAAAAAGAGAUCCCCACAUAACAAAAGUUCUUGUCAACUGGAUUCCAGUUCAGAUAAUUUUGUAACUCAUAGCAGAUUGAAAGAUCCAGUUGAGGUUUUAAAAGAGAGAAAUGAAAAAUCAGUUUAUGAAGCUUGUUCAGAGGAGUUUAAUUUCACAUGUGAUAUAAGUUUAAGCCAAGAGAGAAUAUUAGAGGACACUGAAAUUAAUAGUCUUAGAAGGGCACAAGAUGAUAAUAAUUUAGAUGGCUCAUAUUUGCAGUCAGUUUGCCAGCAAAGAAGCUUGUUAGAAAAUUCUAACAAAACUUCAAUAGAGAGAUCAAAGUUGAAUAAUAGCAGCCAUUCAUCAGAAUGUGAUGAUAAAGAAUCUACAAGUCAGAAUCACUCUGAUGGAGAUUUGAAUCAAAAUAUUUGUGAGAUUAUGGAACUGGAUGAGAACAGUGACAGGAAAAACACUGACACACUUUCAGACUCGUUUCUUGACAGAGCCUUUGAGAGUUACCUUCAUCUGUCUACAUCAAGUGAGGAAACUGGUAAUGAUGAGCAAAAUAAAUCUCUUGAGCAAGAUAAGAUAGAGAAAAAUAGUGAGCAAGUGGAAGAAAAUCGAAUAACUUAUAAAUCUCUAGAGCAGAAUGAAAAUGUUUUCAAUGAUUUGCAAGAUACUAAGAAUGCAUAUGAAGGUAAUGCUAAUGCCUUAAAAUUAAAUUGCUUAAGUGCAACGUUCAGUCAACUAGAUAUUACACUUGGCACAGAAGCUUUGAUAGAUGGAAAACCAAAAGAAUAUCCUGAUAUACUCGUACAAGAUGAUUUGCAGCUUAAAGAUAACCAAGUUUGUCGUACUCAAUGCAGCAAAGACAGACUGUCCGAUGAUUUGUUUGCAACGCCUACGUUGCCGAACACAAAGCAGUCUCAGAGGAAGCUAAAUAAGGCAAAUCGGGAAAAAAGCAACAAGAAUAAAGCGUGUAGUAAAGCAUCAUUAGGAAAAUUGAAUUCCCAAAGAUCCUCAUCACCACAUGGAAGCUCUCAUUCUUCUGAUAAUAGAGAUGACACAGUUGUUCCAGAGAGGAAUGGAAAUGUUAUGGAUGCAAAUGUACCAAGUAAUAUUUCAUCAGUGAAAAGCUCAUUCUGCAUCAUCGAUGUUGUAAAUGAUUCUAAAUUAUUUAAAAGUUUCAUAAAAGAGUGGGAUGAACAAAAGAUUUCUGCAAUUAGUUUAGCAUGUGAAAAAGCUCCAGCCCAACGCAGUAAAGGAAGCAUUGGCUGGCGAAUAGCUGGACAUGGUCGCACUCCACGACGCAGUCAGCGUCCCCAAGAAGUUGCAGGAUUGGUGGUUGAAAACUCAGAUUUGCUUAUUGUGGGCAUUGCAGUUUGUUGGGGAGGACAAAAUGCUUAUUAUAUUAACUUACGUACUGUCCAGGAAGAAGCCAUCAGUAAUAGUUUUCCAACACCUCCCCUAAGAGCAGCUGUUUCACUUGAAGACAGAGUGGAGUGCAUAAAAAACUUCAUUAUAAAAGUAGGACAAAACAAGAAGUAUGUUCUCUGUGUAUGGGAUGCCAAGACCUGUGUGCGACUGCUGGCGGCUGCAGGCCUGGGCUUCCUAUCAUGUCCAGUUGAGGAUCCUAGAGUGGCGGCCUGGAUGUUAGAUCCUGGGAAAAAACAACUUAAUAUAUUUAACCUAGUGACAAACCACAAUGUGGAAAGUCUUCCGAUUUUGGAACAAUUUGGCAGUUCGCGGAGCUUGUCUGGUCUUGGAGUAAACACUAAUAAUCCUGGGUCGUGCCGUGUUCGAGCAGCCACAGAAAGUGUAGUCGUGUAUCACCUUAUGGGAGCACUCAAAGACCAGCUGGAAAAACUUGGGAUGCUGCUGUCUUUCAAAGAGGUUGAGAUGCCAAGUGAGGUGACACUAGCAGCCAUGGAGCUUACCGGGAUGGGCCUCAACACUCGGGACUGUGAGGCCCAAAAAUGUGUAAUGCAGGCACAACUGAUUUCACUGGAGAGAGAGGCAUAUUCUAUUGUUGGUCACCCAUUCUCCCUUACUUCAAGUGACGAGAUUAGCCGGGUGUUGUAUGGGGAGCUUCAUCUGCCAUCUCCUGAUGGGCCUGGCACUCCUCUCAGAGGAAGGAGAGGUCGAGGUGCUAGAGGAGGUCGGGGAAGUAGAGGAGGUCGAGGAAGUCGUCUCAGUGGACCAACCAACAAAGAGGCUCUGGAAAAACUCUCAAAAAUUCACCCUCUUCCUGCAGUCAUUAUUCAGUGGCGAAGGAUAAAUGCCUCCCUUACCAAAGUAAUAUUGCAGUUGUGUUUCCCCUUCAGGCAGCACGUGUUUACUGUUGCCGUUUGGCCAUGGACCGCAUCCAUUCACUUACCUACAGUUUCACUUCUACAGGCAGAGUCACCAUGCAUGAACCUAACUUGCAAAAUAUUCCAAAAGAUUUCAGUAUUCAGGUGACUGCAGACAAAGCUGGGGUAGGUACCACUGUACCAAGAAAGCAGCGGCCCCUUGUAAACUCUGCCAUCAUGACUCAAUUGGCUCCCCUCUUGACAGGAGACUGUGAGGAGCAU